GGUUAAGCGACUAAGCGUACACGGUGGAUGCCCUGGCAGUCAGAGGCGAUGAAGGACGUGCUAAUCUGCGAUAAGCGUCGGUAAGGUGAUAUGAACCGUUAUAACCGGCGAUUUCCGAAUGGGGAAACCCAGUGUGUUUCGACACACUAUCAUUAACUGAAUCCAUAGGUUAAUGAGGCGAACCGGGGGAACUGAAACAUCUAAGUACCCCGAGGAAAAGAAAUCAACCGAGAUUCCCCCAGUAGCGGCGAGCGAACGGGGAGCAGCCCAGAGCCUGAAUCAGUGUGUGUGUUAGUGGAAGCGUCUGGAAAGGCGCGCGAUACAGGGUGACAGCCCCGUACACAAAAAUGCACAUGCUGUGAGCUCGAUGAGUAGGGCGGGACACGUGGUAUCCUGUCUGAAUAUGGGGGGACCAUCCUCCAAGGCUAAAUACUCCUGACUGACCGAUAGUGAACCAGUACCGUGAGGGAAAGGCGAAAAGAACCCCGGCGAGGGGAGUGAAAAAGAACCUGAAACCGUGUACGUACAAGCAGUGGGAGCACGCUUAGGCGUGUGACUGCGUACCUUUUGUAUAAUGGGUCAGCGACUUAUAUUCUGUAGCAAGGUUAACCGAAUAGGGGAGCCGAAGGGAAACCGAGUCUUAACUGGGCGUUAAGUUGCAGGGUAUAGACCCGAAACCCGGUGAUCUAGCCAUGGGCAGGUUGAAGGUUGGGUAACACUAACUGGAGGACCGAACCGACUAAUGUUGAAAAAUUAGCGGAUGACUUGUGGCUGGGGGUGAAAGGCCAAUCAAACCGGGAGAUAGCUGGUUCUCCCCGAAAGCUAUUUAGGUAGCGCCUCGUGAAUUCAUCUCCGGGGGUAGAGCACUGUUUCGGCAAGGGGGUCAUCCCGACUUACCAACCCGAUGCAAACUGCGAAUACCGGAGAAUGUUAUCACGGGAGACACACGGCGGGUGCUAACGUCCGUCGUGAAGAGGGAAACAACCCAGACCGCCAGCUAAGGUCCCAAAGUCAUGGUUAAGUGGGAAACGAUGUGGGAAGGCCCAGACAGCCAGGAUGUUGGCUUAGAAGCAGCCAUCAUUUAAAGAAAGCGUAAUAGCUCACUGGUCGAGUCGGCCUGCGCGGAAGAUGUAACGGGGCUAAACCAUGCACCGAAGCUGCGGCAGCGACGCUUAUGCGUUGUUGGGUAGGGGAGCGUUCUGUAAGCCUGUGAAGGUGUGCUGUGAGGCAUGCUGGAGGUAUCAGAAGUGCGAAUGCUGACAUAAGUAACGAUAAAGCGGGUGAAAAGCCCGCUCGCCGGAAGACCAAGGGUUCCUGUCCAACGUUAAUCGGGGCAGGGUGAGUCGACCCCUAAGGCGAGGCCGAAAGGCGUAGUCGAUGGGAAACAGGUUAAUAUUCCUGUACUUGGUGUUACUGCGAAGGGGGGACGGAGAAGGCUAUGUUGGCCGGGCGACGGUUGUCCCGGUUUAAGCGUGUAGGCUGGUUUUCCAGGCAAAUCCGGAAAAUCAAGGCUGAGGCGUGAUGACGAGGCACUACGGUGCUGAAGCAACAAAUGCCCUGCUUCCAGGAAAAGCCUCUAAGCAUCAGGUAACAUCAAAUCGUACCCCAAACCGACACAGGUGGUCAGGUAGAGAAUACCAAGGCGCUUGAGAGAACUCGGGUGAAGGAACUAGGCAAAAUGGUGCCGUAACUUCGGGAGAAGGCACGCUGAUACGUAGGUGAAGUCCCUCGCGGAUGGAGCUGAAAUCAGUCGAAGAUACCAGCUGGCUGCAACUGUUUAUUAAAAACACAGCACUGUGCAAACACGAAAGUGGACGUAUACGGUGUGACGCCUGCCCGGUGCCGGAAGGUUAAUUGAUGGGGUCAGCGCAAGCGAAGCUCUUGAUCGAAGCCCCGGUAAACGGCGGCCGUAACUAUAACGGUCCUAAGGUAGCGAAAUUCCUUGUCGGGUAAGUUCCGACCUGCACGAAUGGCGUAAUGAUGGCCAGGCUGUCUCCACCCGAGACUCAGUGAAAUUGAACUCGCUGUGAAGAUGCAGUGUACCCGCGGCAAGACGGAAAGACCCCGUGAACCUUUACUAUAGCUUGACACUGAACAUUGAGCCUUGAUGUGUAGGAUAGGUGGGAGGCUUNNNNNNNNNNNNNNNNNNNNNNNNNNNNNNNNNNNNNNNNNAUCCGGGUUGCGGACAGUGUCUGGUGGGUAGUUUGACUGGGGCGGUCUCCUCCUAAAGAGUAACGGAGGAGCACGAAGGUUGGCUAAUCCUGGUCGGACAUCAGGAGGUUAGUGCAAUGGCAUAAGCCAGCUUGACUGCGAGCGUGACGGCGCGAGCAGGUGCGAAAGCAGGUCAUAGUGAUCCGGUGGUUCUGAAUGGAAGGGCCAUCGCUCAACGGAUAAAAGGUACUCCGGGGAUAACAGGCUGAUACCGCCCAAGAGUUCAUAUCGACGGCGGUGUUUGGCACCUCGAUGUCGGCUCAUCACAUCCUGGGGCUGAAGUAGGUCCCAAGGGUAUGGCUGUUCGCCAUUUAAAGUGGUACGCGAGCUGGGUUUAGAACGUCGUGAGACAGUUCGGUCCCUAUCUGCCGUGGGCGCUGGAGAACUGAGGGGGGCUGCUCCUAGUACGAGAGGACCGGAGUGGACGCAUCACUGGUGUUCGGGUUGUCAUGCCAAUGGCACUGCCCGGUAGCUAAAUGCGGAAGAGAUAAGUGCUGAAAGCAUCUAAGCACGAAACUUGCCCCGAGAUGAGUUCUCCCUGACUCCUUGAGAGUCCUGAAGGAACGUUGAAGACGACGACGUUGAUAGGCCGGGUGUGUAAGCGCAGCGAUGCGUUGAGCUAACCGGUACUAAUGAACCGUGAGGCUUAACCUU
rnacentral:rRNA from 1 species